AUGAACCCAUCCUCGGCGCCAGGACUGGAUGGCCUCCCGGUUAAAUUCUUCCAGACCUUAUGGAACGUGAUUAAACCGGAGGUCAUGGCUAUCUUCGACGAGUUCUAUGUAGGCGCCAUUGAUCUCGGGCGCCUCAACUACGGGAUCAUUUCUCUCAUCCCAAAGGUCUCUGGGGCGUCCGACAUUCGUCAAUUUCGUCCGAUCACAGUCAUUAACGUGAUCUUCCAGAUCCUGGCCAAAGGGUACGCCAAUAGGGUGACCCUGCUGGCAGACAGUGUGACGCAUCCCAACCAG
rnacentral:rRNA from 1 species